GCUGGCGGCGGGCUUAAACAUGCUGUACGAACGAGAAAGGUUCUUCGCAACUGAGUAAAGUGGCGCACGGGUGAGUAACGCGUAGGCAACCUGCCCCUAGAUUUGGAAUAACUCCGGGAAACCGAAGCUAAUACCGAAUAACGUCUUUUGAUCGCAUGAUCAGGAGACCAAAACUCCGGUGUCUAGGGAUGGGCCUGCGUAAGAUUAGGUAGUUGGUGAAGUAACGGCUCACCAAGCCGACGAUCUUUAGCUGGUCUGAAGAAGAUGAUCAGGCACACUGGCACUGAGACCACGGGCCCAGAAUCCUAAGGGAAGCCCGCCAGUGAAGAAUAUUGCGCCCAUGGGGGAAAACCUGACGCAGACACGCCCAGUGGUUGAUGGACACCCUUAUUGGCGUUAAACACUUUUAUGAGAGAAGAAGUCCUACUCCGGAAGAGUUUGACGGUACCUCCUGAAUUAAGCCCGGGGUAAAUCCCGUGCAGAAAGCGCCACGGGAUACAGACGGGUGCAAGCUUGUUCCGGAAUACCGGGGGGUCAAGGGGUGCUAGCCCAGCUGUAAGUCGAAGGUGAAUCCCUAGGUCAAACCGUGAA
rnacentral:rRNA from 1 species